rnacentral:rRNA from 1 species
GACAGAGGGUGCAAACGUUGUUCGGAAUUACUGGGCGUAAAGCGCGUGUAGGCAGCUCGGAAAGUCGGGUGUGAAAGCCCUGGGCUCAACCUAGGAAGUGCACUCGAAACUUCCGAGCCGGAGUGCUGGAGAGGAAGGCGGAAUUCUCGGUGUAGAGGUGAAAUUCGUAGAUAUCGAGAGGAACACCGGUGGCGAAGGCGGCCAUCUGGACGGUAACUGACGCUGAGACGCGAAAAGCGUGGGUACGCA